UACAGAGAGUGCAAGCGUUAAUCGGAAUUACUGGGCGUAAAGCGCGCGUAGGUGGAUAUUUAAGUCGGAUGUGAAAGCCCUGGGCUUAACCUAGGAAUUGCAUUCGAUACUGCAUAUCUAGAGUAUGGUAGAGGGAAGUGGAAUUUCCGGUGUAGCGGUGAAAUGCGUAGAUAUCGGAAAGAACACCAGUGGCGAAGGCGGCUUCCUGGACCAAUACUGACACUGAAGCGCGAAAGCGUGGGGAGCAAACAGG
rnacentral:rRNA from 1 species